rnacentral:rRNA from 1 species
AUGUAAUGUAAUGCCUACAACGUUAAUGCACCUAAUCCUAGUAGAACUCCGCAGUUAAGCAUGCUUGGGAUAGAUUAUUACUGGGAUGGGUGACCUUCUGGGAAGUCUUAGUGUUUUAUGUG